rnacentral:tRNA from 1 species
GGAAUAUGGCUCAGUUGGUAGAGUGCUUGCCUUGCAUGCACAAGGCCCUGGGUUCAAUCCCCAGCACCA